AAGCACCAAACACGUGCAGCUGGGGCAGUGCGUGUUGCUAGGAGAACAAUGACUCUCUUGCUUCCAGAGCUGGAUUUGAUGAUGAGACAUCGUCUGCUACAGGAUUUGCAGGGAAACAUGGAGUAUCACUUUGGGCCUAUUUUCUAAGAGAAUGGCCUGAAGAGAAUAGAUUCAAGUUUUCUCCCAGAAAAGCCUCUGCUUCAGGAGCAGGAACACUCUACUGGUAAGGGGAGAAAUGCCUCAAAUGAGCAUGUGCACAACUUCAGUAAACAUGCUGUGCAUGUGGCCCCUCCCAAGUGCCCGCAGGCCACCACACAAGUGGACAGCCCUGGACAGCCCGCCCCUAGGGAAGAAUCAAGGGAGGAGAAACAGAAGCCCUGGAACUGUGCUAGCAUAUAAAACCCCAAGUCAAGGGCUGAAUGGCACACUUGGAUCUCUCAAGUCACCUGCUUGGCCCCCUUCCAAGUGUAUUUACUUCCAUUUGUUCCUGCUCUAAAACUUUUUAAUAAACUUUCACUCCUGCUCUAAAACUUGCCUCGGUCUCUCCCUCUGCCUUAAAACUACUUCUGCCCCCGCAGCCGAAUUCUU
rnacentral:lncRNA from 10 species